UGAGGAAUAUUGGUCAAUGGUCGCAAGGCUGAACCAGCCGUGCCGCGUGCAGGAAGACGGUCCUAUGGAUUGUAAACUGCUUUUAUACAGGAAGAAACCCUCCCACGUGUGGGAGCUUGACGGUACUGUAGGAAUAAGGAUCGGCUAACUCCGUGCCAGCAGCCGCGGUAAUACGGAGGAUCCAAGCGUUAUCCGGAAUCAUUGGGUUUAAAGGGUCCGUAGGCGGUCUUAUAAGUCAGUGGUGAAAGCCCAUCGCUCAACGAUGGAACUGCCAUUGAUACUGUAAGACUUGAAUGCUUAGGAAGUAACUAGAAUAUGUAGUGUAGCGGUGAAAUGCUUAGAUAUUACAUGGAAUACCAAUUGCGAAGGCAGGUUACUACUAAGUGAUUGACGCUGAUGGACGAAAGCGUGGGGAGCGAACAGGAUUAGAUACCCUGGUAGUCCACGCCGUAAACGAUGGAUACUAGCUGUUCGGCGCAAGUUGAGUGGCUAAGCGAAAGUGAUAAGUAUCCCACCUGGGGAGUACGCACGCAAGUGUGAAACUUAAAUGAAUUGACGGGGUCAUAGCUGUUUCCUG
rnacentral:rRNA from 1 species